AUUGUAUAAAAUAGGAAUUUUAGUUUCAAAGAAAGAAAAAGAUAAGAAAACGUAAAACAUCAGAUGCAAGAAAGAAACAGGAAAAAAAGAAUAAAGGCACAUACGAACAUCUUUUUUUAAAACAAUUUAUAGCACUCCAAGUUCUUUUUGGGCUUGAAUACGCAAUUCCUCAUCAGCGGCUUCAUACAGAAUUUUUUCGGUUUGCCAACGUUGCGAAAUAGAAUCAAUGUCCUUGGGAAUAUUAUCAAUUAUGCUGUGAAUUUUUUCGUUUUCAAUUAUUUCAUUGCAAGUUUGGAAUAUAAACUGAUUCCAUCCAGGCUGCAAUGAAUUGGCAGUUUUGGCAAUAUCCAUCAACUCCAAUUCAGUUUCCUUUUCCAAACGACCAAACUUACGAAUUAGCUCGUCACCAACGCCGCCGCGGUUGAGCAAAUUAUUCAAUGCCAUUCUCGAUACUUUAAGCUUCAUCAAUCGACGAAGACCUUCUGUAGCCCGUAAAACGAGAGCAGCUUUCAAAAGUGUAUCCUCGGCAGGUGGAUUCUGCUGCAAAAGACUGAAAAAUAUAUUUCUAGAAUAAUUUUCUCCAAACCAUUCUUCUGAUACUGGUUUUGAUUCCUGAUUUUUGGAUUUUCGCACAAAACGAGAAACUCCAUACAUAGAGCCCAUUAAAAUGGUAAUAUAUAUCAAGGGAACGUAAAUCGACACCAUAUUGAAUUAAUUAACACGGCCAAGUAUGUAAAGCAAGCAGGGACCUUUUUCUUUAACAACUCGUAUACCCUUUUUGUAUUAUUUGUUUUUUGCAGAGUGGACUGCAAAUAUGUAUAUGAGAUAUAACUUCGAGACCAAAUGAAUGCAAGACCAGUUUAGGUGUGAAAGGAGAAUAGUGU